rnacentral:rRNA from 1 species
AUGUUACCAGUGAAGAAGAGCAACCCCAACGGGCCUCGCACGGUCCGGCGCGGAUGGCAAGCCCCGGCUAUCGGCAGCGCCAAGAUUUAUGUUUAUGGUGGAGUCAACCGAGGAGAAAACAAAGGUGCUGUUAGUGCAGUCUGCCGAGACUCGAGCGGCACGUUCCUUGGAGCAUCGUCGGUGGUGUUUGAGGGGCUUACUCAGCCGGCCAUCCUGGAAGCUAUUUCCUGUAAUGAGGCUCUCUCCCUGGCUCUAGACUUUAACCUGUCCAAGUUAUAGAUUGCCACGGACUGUUUGCAAGUACUACGGAACAUCGAAGAGGAGAAUCCAUGCAACUAUGGAGUGAUUGUCAAAGAGAUCCUAGUGAAGAAGGAGCUAUUCCAGGAAGUAUCUAUUAGUCAUGAGUCUCGAGCUUGUAAUUUAGAAGCACACAAUCUUGUUAGGGCUUCGACUUCUCUUGAGAGUGGGCGCCAUGUUUGGCUCACCUCCCCCCACCAAUAG